rnacentral:tRNA from 1 species
GGAGAGGUGACUGAGUGGCCGAAAGUGCACGAUUGGAAAUCGUGUGAAGGACCAAAAGUCCUUCCGAGGGUUCGAAUCCCUCCCUCUCCGCCA